ensembl:misc_RNA Y_RNA Y RNA
GGCUGGUCUGAGUGCAGUGGUGUUACAACUAAUUGAUCGCAGCCAGACUCUGUCCCUUCUCCACUCCCACUGCUUCACUUGAGUAGCCUUUU